AGAGUUUGAUCAUGGCUCAGGACGAACGCUGGCGGCGUGCCUAAUACAUGCAAGUCGAACGAGAGCGACCGGUGCUUGCACUGGUCAAUCUAGUGGCGAACGGGUGAGUAACACGUGGGUAACCUGCCCAUCAGAGGGGGAUAACAUUCGGAAACGGAUGCUAAAACCGCAUAGGUCCUUUAACCGCAUGGUUGAAGGAGGAAAAGAGGCGCAAGCUUCUGCUGAUGGAUGGACCCGCGGUGCAUUAGCUAGUUGGUGAGGUAACGGCUCACCAAGGCCGUGAUGCAUAGCCGACCUGAGAGGGUGAUCGGCCACAUUGGGACUGAGACACGGCCCAAACUCCUACGGGAGGCAGCAGUAGGGAAUCUUCCGCAAUGGACGCAAGUCUGACGGAGCAACGCCGCGUGAGUGAAGAAGGUUUUCGGAUCGUAAAACUCUGUUGUUAGAGAAGAACAAGUGCUAGAGUAACUGUUAGCGCCUUGACGGUAUCUAACCAGAAAGCCACGGCUAACUACGUGCCAGCAGCCGCGGUAAUACGUAGGUGGCAAGCGUUGUCCGGAUUUAUUGGGCGUAAAGCGAGCGCAGGCGGUUCCUUAAGUCUGAUGUGAAAGCCCCCGGCUCAACCGGGGAGGGUCAUUGGAAACUGGGGAACUUGAGUGCAGAAGAGGAGAGUGGAAUUCCAUGUGUAGCGGUGAAAUGCGUAGAUAUAUGGAGGAACACCAGUGGCGAANGCGACUCUCUGGUCUGUAACUGACGCUGANGCUCGAAAGCGUGGGUAGCAAACAGGAUUAGAUACCCUG
rnacentral:rRNA from 1 species